rnacentral:misc_RNA from 1 species
GCGGCGCCACCUCCCACCCGUGAAUACCUAACACUGUUGCUUCGGCGGGGAGCCCUCUCGGGGGCGAGCCGCCGGAGACCACUGAACUUCAUGCCUGUAGUGAUGAGUCUGAGCCUAAAUGAAAAUUUAGUCAAAACUUUCAACAAUGGAUCUCUUGGUUCCGGCAUCGAUGAAGAACGCAGCGAACUGCGAUAAGUAAUGUGAAUUGCAGAAUUCAGUGAAUCAUCGAGUCUUUGAACGCACAUUGCGCCCCCUGGCAUUCCGGGGGGCAUGCCUGUCCGAGCGUCAUUGCUGCCCUUCAAGCCCGGCUUGUGUGUUGGGUCGUCGUCCCCCCCGGGGGACGGGCCCGAAAGGCAGCGGCGGCACCGUGUCCGGUCCUCGAGCGUAUGGGGCUUUGUCACCCGCUCGAUUAGGGCCGGCCGGGCGCCAGCCGGCGUCUCCAACCUUAUUUUUCUCAGG